UACGGGGGGGGUAAGCGUUGUUCGGAAUUACUGGGCGUAAAGGGCUCGUAGGCGGCCAACUAAGUCAGACGUGAAAUCCCUCAGCUUAACUGGGGAACUGCCUUUGAUACUGGCGAUCUUGAGUCCGGGAGAGGUGAGUGGAACUGCGAGUGUAGAGGUGAAAUUCGUAGAUAUUCGCAAGAACACCAGUGGCGAAGGCGGCUCACUGGCCCGGUACUGACGCUGAGGUGCGAAAGCGUGGGGAGCAAACAGG
rnacentral:rRNA from 1 species